GGUGCCCCGUAGAUAAAGGCACUGUUAGAGUAUGUAUCUGAAUGGGGGAAGAUGGUUUGUUUGCCUAUGUGUUCCGCUUCGCGUGGGGCGUUU
rnacentral:tRNA from 1 species